rnacentral:rRNA from 1 species
GAUGAACGCUGACAGAAUGCUUAACACAUGCAAGUCGGUGGCGGACGGGUGAGUAAUGUCUGGGAAACUGCCUGAUGGAGGGGGAUAACUACUGGAAACGGUAGCUAAUACCGCAUACCCUCAGAUGUGCCCAGAUGGGAUUAGCUAGUAGGUGGGGUAACGGCUCACCUAGGCGACGAUCCCUAGCUGGUCUGAGAGGAUGCACAGCCACACUGGAACGGAGACACGUUCCAGACUCCGACGGGAGGAAGCAGGGGGGAAUAUUGCACAAUGGGCGAAAGCCUGAUGCAGCCAUGCCGCGUGUGUGAAGAAGGCCUUCGGGUUGUAAAGCACUUUCAGCGGGGAGGCGUUACCCGAAGAAGAAGCACCGGCUAACUCCGUGCCAGCCGCCGCGGUAAUAC